CCGCCGGGACGGCUCGGCAUUUCAUGCACAUCCGACGGGGACGACCCUG
rnacentral:ncRNA from 1 species